UACGUAGGGGGCUAGCGUUAUCCGGAAUUACUGGGCGUAAAGGGUGCGUAGGUGGUUUCUUAAGUCAGAGGUGAAAGGCUACGGCUCAACCGUAGUAAGCCUUUGAAACUGGGGAACUUGAGUGCAGGAGAGGAGAGUGGAAUUCCUAGUGUAGCGGUGAAAUGCGUAGAUAUUAGGAGGAACACCAGUUGCGAAGGCGGCUCUCUGGCCUGUACCUGACACUGAGGCUCGAAAGCGUGGGGAGCAAACAGG
rnacentral:rRNA from 1 species